UUAAGCUUGCAGCACAACCUUUUUUCAGCAUCUCCUUCUCAGCCUUGUCAGCAACGCCUGUCGAAUAUUUCAAAAUUAGAAGUGCAUUCAAACUGUACAUAUGCAACAAGAGACGAUGUACUGAACUGAACAAACUUGUAGUGGAUAAACACCUCAGUCUCCCAUGUACUGUACUGAACAAGCAUGUAGUGUGUAAACAGCAACAGGAUAUUGCAGGAGCAAAGGAAAACAUUAUGCAACAUGAAUGAAGAUAGUACCUUCUACAUUAAAACAUCUACUCGUCAUCGCUGUCGACAUCCAUUGUGGCACCUCCUUCGUCUUCACUGCAAUACUCCAAACCUGUGUCAUCUUCUUCAUCUUCAUCGCCACCUUCAUACACUUUUGUGGUUUUUUCUUUCAUCAAACGGGCAACGACAUCAGCUUCAAAAGUAAUGCCUUGCUCAUCAUCUCUAUGCAAAGGCUUCUCAGAUGUAAGGUCAGAAACUGAUGUUCUCCUACCCUCCUCUUCACAACACUCCUCCUCUUGAUAUGCA
rnacentral:lncRNA from 1 species